rnacentral:rRNA from 1 species
CUCCAGACUCCUACGGGAGGCAGCAGUGGGGAAUAUUGCACAAUGGGGGAAACCCUGAUGCAGCGACGCCGCGUGAGUGAGGAAGUAUUUCGGUAUGUAAAGCUCUCUCAGCAGGGAAGAAAAUGACGGUACCUGACUAAGAAGCCCCGGCUAACUACGUGCCAGCAGCCGCGGUAAUACGUAGGGGGCAAGCGUUAUCCGGAUUUACUGGGUGUAAAGGGAGCGUAGACGGUUAUGUAAGUCUGGAGUGAAAGCCCGGGGCCCAACCCCGGGACUGCUUUGGAAACUGUGUAACUGGAGUACAGGAGGGGCAGGCGGAAUUCCUGGUGUAGCGGUGAAUGCGUAGAUAUCAGGAGGAACACCGGCGGCGAAGGCGGCCUGCUGGACUGAAACUGACGUUGAGGCGCGAAAGCGUGGGGAGCAAACAGGAUUAGAUACCCCUGUACA